ACUUUGAAGGUUGAAAAGAGAUGAGGAUGGUGAGUGACAUUGAUUGUUCGGAGUGCCCGGGUCUGUGUGGGUUCUUAGUUGUUGAAGCUUAUCCAAAGGGGUACUCUUCCAAGAUCCCCUCUGAUUUGGUCCUUUUUUCUGGGGAUUGGCUUCAUAGAGGUAAUAUCCUGUGUUGCUCUUAUACCUAUAUCUAUAUUUAUUAUCUUAGAUAUACACCCAUAAAAUAUUUAGAGAUCUAGAUAUAUUUAUUUUUAUUGGACUUCUAUAGAAAGGGACCAUGGACCCAUACUCACACAAGUGUGGGAGUAGCCUACUGGACCCAAUCUUUCACAGCAAAGGGGAUCGGAAAUUCAUUUGCUUAAUUUGUUCAGUUCUAAGAGCCCUUUUCCGGCUUAGCUCCCCCAUCUCCUUUUAGCCUUCUUUUUGGUCUUCCCCGCGAUUCCUCUCCAGGCACUUUGAGGAAUAAGGAGAUUGAAUUAACUAGAAAAGCUCUUGCAUUUAGGUGUUUGGUAUAUUCUCUUUGACAAUGUUUAGAUCAGCCAUGGCCAUUUAUCCUCGCAACUUCUGUCGGCGAAGAGCAUGAAUCUGUUAGGCAGGAGUAAAGAAGACGACCUUGAGUAUUAUUAUGAUAUGAUUGAGAUCCUUUUGAGUGAAUUUUAGCUGUUUCUAUAUGCCGACUAAUUAAUGCUAUAGUAUAUUUAUUUGAGUUAUUUUUA